UCUGUAGGUGAACGUGCAGAAGGGAUCAUUG
rnacentral:rRNA from 1 species